rnacentral:lncRNA from 1 species
AGCCAGCCAUGGACUUAAGGCCAACGAAUGGAGCCACCUCGCCGAUUGUACUGAUUUGGCACGGUUAACUAUAGUCACAGCUGAAGAGGACAUCAUAGAGGAAGCCAUUUUUUUCUCACUUUCUUAGUUCACAAGUCAGAAACACUUCUACUUGAAUGGAAAAGCUUCUACUCAAACUGUCUAUUUAUAAUGUUUUGAUUUUGCUAUUUCCAAUAAUAUGGUCUUAAAAAUUGUGGUAAUUGGUAGCUGCCUAAUACCAAUCUGUUGGAUGGUGAAAAUGAUAAACAUUGCAGCCAUAUUAGCCACACAAGAUUUGAAAUUUUGUGUCUUAGCUUUACCAUUAGCAACCAAU